rfam:Nicotiana attenuata strain TT chromosome 7, whole genome shotgun sequence.
GCUCUAUUAGCCUAGUUGGUUAGAGCACUCGUUUAGUAAGCGAAGGUCUUGAGUUUGAUUCUUAAUGAGAGCA